rnacentral:misc_RNA from 1 species
UUUCGACUACUUCGUUGGGUCUGAACACACGUGCGCGGCAUCGCUGCACCUGCGCACACACGAGUCGACGGCAGAUUUGAAGUGCCGGAAGACGUACACUCGCACGUCCUCACAGUAAAGAAGCGCACGCUCGCCACAUAGAGCGCCACCACAGGGCCGCGAGAGAGGCUUGGGACGGGGCGUGCGUUAGCUUCACAUAACUCCCCUGCCCUUUCUCGCUCCUCGCCCAUCUUUGCCAUAGACGUAGACGGAGUUACGCACAGACUCCCUCACAAGCGUGUACGCAGACGGCGAAGAAGAGAGGCACUCAGCUGAAGGAGGACAAGAAGCUGCCGCGAUCGCGGUGUCUCUGGAAGAGACAGAGCUGCUGACGUGCACACCCUCCCCUCGCAGCGCUGCAUCUGAGAACGAAGAUCACUGUCUCUCUCUCUCUCUCGCAGCGGCGUAGUGGGCGCCUUCGGCCAACCUGUGAGGUUGCGCUUCCUUCUGCUCGCUUGUUGCGCGCGCUGCGCAGGCGCCGGGCGUAGCGGCUGGGUGAGGGAGUGACUCAACCACGGAUACCGUGACAACGCUGCGAAUAUCGACGCUGCUGCCGAUUGCGCCGAUGGAGCACUACGAGGAUUCCUUCGAGAGUACCACCACGGUGAUGGAUGAAGAAGAAGAGACCAUGUCGGUGCGCACCAGCUCAACGACCGCCACUUCAGGUGGCUCUGUCGACGCUGGCGGCGUAGGUGAUGCCGUCUCUGGCGGCAAGGGAAUGAGCGACGUGUUGACUUUGAGCUCCGCCGCAACACUGUCACCGACAGCACGGUAUCUGGCUCUACCCUUGCCUGCAUCCCCAGUGCCGGUACCGGUACCUGUGCCGACACUCACCUCUUCGCCGGCAUCGGCGCUGAAGGGCGACAGCGAGAGCGGAUUGCACGCGUCGUCCAUUUGGUCUGUGCAAAACGCGUUGGCUUCUGAGAAGCCGCUUGGAUUCGCUCCAUGCGCGACGGUCGGGGCAAUAGAGAGCGAGGAGCGGAGCGCGAGUCUGGCUGACAGCGCCGGGGCUAAACACCCCACCACGCUCGAGGCAUCGUGCGCUGCUCAAGGAGAAUUCGUAGGGACCCCCAGCGACGAUGCCGACCAUAGUCGUCGAGGGCUAAACGGCGUUGACUUCGAGGCCCUCUCCCACUUUGUGGCCUUUGGUGGCAGCGGCACCGACAGCACGACGGGGCCAACGUCGCAUCGGCAUAGCUCCGUGAUCGGAAGGGGAGUGGAAGGCUUCUCAUCCCCGCUGGGCAGGAUGCUCACCGCCAAGAGAGAGGCAGAAGGCGAGAGCCCGAGGGAGGGAGAGGAACUGCGGCCAGCUGCUGACUCUCUAGCUUCCCAGUCAACAUCGGCGCAGCAGGCGGAGUUGCCACAGAAAACUGUGGCGUCGAAGGCGGCCUCCGUGGCUGCGAGCAGCGUCUUCAGCACCCUCUCACAGCAUCUUCAGCAGCAGAAGCCGCAACGACAGCAGCCACAAACGACCCUUGCGCCAGCGCCAGCGGUCAACUCGGCGCCAGUGGUCCCUUCAAUACCAACGCCUGCAACCGCCCUGCCCACAAUGCCGCCUGCCUCCGUUAAAGGGCCGACAACGUCACCAGCGCCGCAAGCCUGCGCUUCUCUUUCUCUCCCAGCUCUGCCGCCACCGGGAUGGUCUUCUACGACUGUUCCCAACAAUGCCACCGCUGGUAUGGAGACGCCAUUCACCGUCCUACCCGCGGCGGCGGCGGCGAAGGAAGCGACGGACAUGCAACACGGGUGGAUGAUUGGUGGUGUGCAGUACCGCACCAGCCCCACAGAUAAGGAGGCGGUUCAGCAGAUACCCCCGCUGCCCCCGCCGUACGAGCAUCCUCGGCCCACUGCAGAACAGACGCGCAUAUCCUCGCUCCGCGAGGCGUCGGAGGCGGUGGAGAGGCUAGUGAAGGCCUUCGCGAUGCUGAAGGGAUACAACCGUCUCGAGCAGGCGCAAAGCAGAAGUCGCCCCCUCGCUGACGGUGUACCGGCCUCAGUGAAAGAGGCAGCCGAUGUCGUCGCCUCUGCUCGUCAGGCUAGGAUUGCAUCCACUGUGCAGGUGCGCGACACUGUCCGGUCUCGCGGAUCGCGCGUUCGUGCACCUGGAGUGGCGUCGGCGGCCACUCUUGCCUCCACCUCGGCUGCCGCCGCCUCGCUGCCGUUGGUGUCUGCCCCUCGCCGAGAAGACAGCGAGAGCGUGGCCGAAGGUGCCGUGCUGGACUGCGUGCUCGGCCUCUUACAGGAGCGUGCAAGGGGCACCGGGACUUCUUCCGCGGGUGAGUACGAGGAGGAGGGAGUCAGGUCGACGAAGCGCCCAACGGCGGCAUCGUCGUGGCAGGCGGCGAGACCCCACUACGAGGUGGUGACGGCCGACACUUUUGCUCACGGAGGAGGCGUGGGGGGGCACGGCCGAGCUUCGCACUUCACCGCCGGCACCGUGUCUGCGGCCGCGCGGACCCAAGCGUACUUCAACUCAUCAUCCGCCUUCCAGAGCGGGCUCGGUAGCAGUGGCGUCCCCUUGUUCGACCCCCGAGAUCUGCAGAGCGCCGUCGAUCUCUACAAUGCCGUGCGCGAGGCGCUGGACAAGUACGUGCUGCGCCGCGUGGCGACCGGCAUAGAGAAAGCAGAGGGACUUCAGCCGCACGUCUCUGCCCCCCGCGCACGCUCCAUCACCGCCAUAUUUGCGUGGGCGCUGCUGCUGGACAUGAUAAAUCUCUGUGAGGAGAUCGCGCGUGUCGCCUACGAUGCAGCGCCGCGCACCCCGAGCGCCGUGUACCCCGUGCUCGUACAGUUCAGGGGAGAUGCGGCGUGCGAGGAGGUUGCCAAGGCGGCGAUGCACUGCCUGCCCUUUGAGGCACUCAACACCAGCGGUGCUGCCACCUUGGCGCCAGGGGAUGGCGGCUGCACGUUCCGGAUGGCAUGCUGGGUGACGCAGCAGCAGCUCUGGACUAUCGCCGACGCUUUGGCCGACACGGUCCGCGAGGACAUGGUGCGACGCGCCAAGGCGCUGCCGUACUCUCCCUUUAACGCGGCCGCAGUGACCGAGGUUGAUCCUCGGGUGCUGGUUCCUCCCACGACUCCAAUGCUCACCCUGCGACCGCUGCCGGGGCGGAGAGGUGGCGGUGCCGUGCCAAAGGUGUCCGAUACCUCCACGACUGCAGGCACUGCCGCGUCGUACGCACGAGUGCAUGGGGGCGGCAGAGGGGAGGGAGGAGGCCCGGAAAGUGGCAGCUCUGGCAACGAGCUCUUCGAGGUGCCUGCCGCCGCGUUGCAGAAGGUUGCCUACCACGUUUCUGUUCUCACCACGAAUUUGCUCUCUGACAUGAGCACCGCCAACCAUCACGAGCUGUCGGCGCUGACUGCUGAGGAUUACCCCGAUGUUGCCACCGCCGUCUCCGAAACCAUGAGCGAACUGCUUCAGGACGAGUCCAUCAAAGCGGCCGUGCGGCGGCGAGCUGCAGAAAAGGUGAAGCAGGCGCAAAGGGCGCGCGCCGACUUCGCCGCAACGUCGCGCCAACGCAAGGAGCAAGCCAUCAUCGAGAAGGCGGAGAAGGAGGCGGAGGAGGUGGUGCAGCACAUUCUGCAAGAGAUGAGAGCACAGGGAGUUGCCUAGUUGUGCCCACACCGUUGAAGCACGAGGCUUCAUCAUCCACGUGCUUGCCUCCCUCCUUUACCACCUCGCGUUGCCGGGUUCGUGCCGAACACGUCCCCUCCGGCACACGGACUUGCUCUCCGCCUCUCACUGCGUGAUGGGCCUGGCAAACUGGUUCGUUCAGCUCUUCCCAUCAUCUUUUUUUUUUCUUGUCGGCAGCGAUGCACGCCACCGCGUCUCAUCGUUCGUCUCCGCGCCCACCUGAUGAGUCGAGCCUCACCCACACACCAGCUCCACAAUUCCUGCUUGGAGGCCUGGAAGAAGAGGAAAGAGGGCGAGGGGGUGGGUGGGUGGGUGCCACAGCUCGCGUGGCAAUCAACCGCGGAUGUGUACGAAGCGGAAGGAAACUGACGGGUAGCGUGGCUGUGGCAGUCGUCUCAAAGUUAGGCGGCGACGAGUCCUCAGGGCCAUUGGCGCACCUGAGCGUUUCUCCGCCCCGCCCUUCUUCCCUCCCACGCUUCUCUAUCUUUUCUUUCGUCGUUGGCGUAUCCUACCUCCCUUGCAGCCUCUGGGAGUGCGUGCCCACGUGACACGACGCGACGCGUCACUCCCCUCAACCCAACCGCUGCGUGCGCUCUUGUUGACCAAAC